UUAAGCGACUAAGCGUACACGGUGGAUGCCCUGGCAGUCAGAGGCGAUGAAGGACGUGCUAAUCUGCGAAAAGCGUCGGUAAGGUGAUAUGAACCGUUACAACCGGCGAUGUCCGAAUGGGGAAACCCAGUGCAAUUCGUUGCACUAUCGUUAACUGAAUACAUAGGUUAACGAGGCGAACCGGGGGAACUGAAACAUCUAAGUACCCCGAGGAAAAGAAAUCAACCGAGAUUCCCCCAGUAGCGGCGAGCGAACGGGGAGCAGCCCAGAGUCUGAAUCAGCUUGUGUGUUAGUGGAACGGUCUGGAAAGUCCGACGGUACAGGGUGAUAGUCCCGUACACCAAAAUGCACAGGCUGUGAACUCGAAGAGUAGGGCGGGACACGUGGUAUCCUGUCUGAAUAUGGGGGGACCAUCCUCCAAGGCUAAAUACUCCUGACUGACCGAUAGUGAACCAGUACCGUGAGGGAAAGGCGAAAAGAACCCCGGCGAGGGGAGUGAAAAAGAACCUGAAACCGUGUACGUACAAGCAGUGGGAGCACCUUCGGGUGUGACUGCGUACCUUUUGUAUAAUGGGUCAGCGACUUAUAUUCUGUAGCAAGGUUAACCGUAUAGGGGAGCCGCAGGGAAACCGAGUCUUAACUGGGCGUUAAGUUGCAGGGUAUAGACCCGAAACCCGGUGAUCUAGCCAUGGGCAGGUUGAAGGUUGGGUAACACUAACUGGAGGACCGAACCGACUAAUGUUGAAAAAUUAGCGGAUGACUUGUGGCUGGGGGUGAAAGGCCAAUCAAACCGGGAGAUAGCUGGUUCUCCCCGAAAGCUAUUUAGGUAGCGCCUCGUGAACUCAUCUUCGGGGGUAGAGCACUGUUUCGGCUAGGGGGUCAUCCCGACUUACCAACCCGAUGCAAACUACGAAUACCGAAGAAUGUUAUCACGGGAGACACACGGCGGGUGCUAACGUCCGUCGUGAAGAGGGAAACAACCCAGACCGCCAGCUAAGGUCCCAAAGUCAUGGUUAAGUGGGAAACGAUGUGGGAAGGCACAGACAGCCAGGAUGUUGGCUUAGAAGCAGCCAUCAUUUAAAGAAAGCGUAAUAGCUCACUGGUCGAGUCGGCCUGCGCGGAAGAUGUAACGGGGCUAAACCAUGCACCGAAGCUGCGGCAGCGACACUAUGUGUUGUUGGGUAGGGGAGCGUUCUGUAAGCCUGCGAAGGUGUGCUGUGAGGCAUGCUGGAGGUAUCAGAAGUGCGAAUGCUGACAUAAGUAACGAUAAAGCGGGUGAAAAGCCCGCUCGCCGGAAGACCAAGGGUUCCUGUCCAACGUUAAUCGGGGCAGGGUGAGUCGACCCCUAAGGCGAGGCCGAAAGGCGUAGUCGAUGGGAAACAGGUUAAUAUUCCUGUACUUGGUGUUACUGCGAAGGGGGGACGGAGAAGGCUAUGUUAGCCGGGCGACGGUUGUCCCGGUUUAAGCAUGUAGGCUGAUUGUCCAGGCAAAUCCGGAUAAUCAAGGCUGAGGUGUGAUGACGAGGCACUACGGUGCUGAAGUAACAAAUGCCCUGCUUCCAGGAAAAGCCUCUAAGCAUCAGGUAACAUUAAAUCGUACCCCAAACCGACACAGGUGGUCAGGUAGAGAAUACCAAGGCGCUUGAGAGAACUCGGGUGAAGGAACUAGGCAAAAUGGUGCCGUAACUUCGGGAGAAGGCACGCUGGUGUGUAGGUGAAGUCCCUGCGGAUGGAGCUGAGACCAGUCGAAGAUACCAGCUGGCUGCAACUGUUUAUUAAAAACACAGCACUGUGCAAACACGAAAGUGGACGUAUACGGUGUGACGCCUGCCCGGUGCCGGAAGGUUAAUUGAUGGGGUUAUCCGUAAGGAGAAGCUCUUGAUCGAAGCCCCGGUAAACGGCGGCCGUAACUAUAACGGUCCUAAGGUAGCGAAAUUCCUUGUCGGGUAAGUUCCGACCUGCACGAAUGGCGUAAUGAUGGCCAGGCUGUCUCCACCCGAGACUCAGUGAAAUUGAACUCGCUGUGAAGAUGCAGUGUACCCGCGGCAAGACGGAAAGACCCCGUGAACCUUUACUAUAGCUUGACACUGAACAUUGAGCCUUGAUGUGUAGGAUAGGUGGGAGGCUUUGAAGCGUGGACGCCAGUCUGCGUGGAGCCAACCUUGAAAUACCACCCUUUAAUGUUUGAUGUUCUAACGUUGGCCCCUUACCGGGGUUGCGGACAGUGUCUGGUGGGUAGUUUGACUGGGGCGGUCUCCUCCCAAAGCGUAACGGAGGAGCACGAAGGUUAGCUAAUCCUGGUCGGACAUCAGGAGGUUAGUGCAAUGGCAUAAGCUAGCUUGACUGCGAGCGUGACGGCGCGAGCAGGUGCGAAAGCAGGUCAUAGUGAUCCGGUGGUUCUGAAUGGAAGGGCCAUCGCUCAACGGAUAAAAGGUACUCCGGGGAUAACAGGCUGAUACCGCCCAAGAGUUCAUAUCGACGGCGGUGUUUGGCACCUCGAUGUCGGCUCAUCACAUCCUGGGGCUGAAGUAGGUCCCAAGGGUAUGGCUGUUCGCCAUUUAAAGUGGUACGCGAGCUGGGUUUAGAACGUCGUGAGACAGUUCGGUCCCUAUCUGCCGUGGGCGCUGGAGAAUUGAGGGGGGCUGCUCCUAGUACGAGAGGACCGGAGUGGACGCAUCACUGGUGUUCGGGUUGUCAUGCCAAUGGCACUGCCCGGUAGCUAAAUGCGGAAGAGAUAAGUGCUGAAAGCAUCUAAGCACGAAACUUGCCCCGAGAUGAGUUCUCCCUGAGACUUUAAGUCUCCUGAAGGAACGUUGAAGACGACGACGUUGAUAGGCCGGGUGUGUAAGCGCAGCGAUGCGUUGAGCUAACCGGUACUAAUGAACCGUGAGGCUUAACCUU
rnacentral:rRNA from 1 species